rnacentral:rRNA from 1 species
UACGGUGAAUACGUUCCCGGACCUUGUACACACCGCCCGUCAAGCCAUGGAAGCCGGGUGUACCUAAAGUCGGUAACCGCAAGGAGCCGCCUAGGGUAAAAACUGGGUGACUGGGGCU